UACGUAGGGGGCAAGCGUUGUCCGGAAUCAUUGGGCGUAAAGCGCGUGUAGGCGGCUGAGUAAGUCUGCUCUGAAAGCCCGGGGCUCAACCCCGGGAGGCGGGUGGAUACUGCUCAGCUCGAGUCCGGAAGAGGAGUGUGGAAUUCCUGGUGUAGCGGUGAAAUGCGCAGAUAUCAGGAAGAACACCCGUGGCGAAGGCGGUUCUCUGGGACGGUACUGACGCUGAGACGCGAAAGCGUGGGGAGCGAACAGG
rnacentral:rRNA from 1 species